rnacentral:tRNA from 1 species
GGGCUAUUAGCUCAGCUGGGAGAGCGCCUGCCUUGCACGCAGGAGGUCUGCGGUUCGAUCCCGCUAUAGCCCACCA